UGUUGCAUUUCCUGGUGCGGGGGCGCGAGGCAGCCGCGCCGCAUGCGCGCGACAAACCCUAGCGGCCUAGCCUCCCCAAGCCCCACAGGCCGCACUCCUCCUCCUCCCCCAUCCCACCCUCGUUAGCCGCCGCCACCAUUAUGCCUCCCUCCUCUCCGUCCUACAACCACGCCACCGGAGGAAGCCGUCGUUCGUGGCGCCAUAUCGCUGCCGGGGUGCCGCGUAAGAGGCUAGGGGACGCCGCCACCGCAAGCCGGCAGGAAGCCAACGGCGAGCACGCCGUCAAGAUGCCGCCAGGAGGACCUACCAUCCGGUCCAUGUCGUCAAGCGAGGGCCGCUUGUUGCGUCGUCGUGGGAGGAGGCGCACCAUCGAGGAGCAGCAGAGGAGGAGACGAGGACCAUCAAGGAGUAGCAGGGGAGGAGACGAGGACCAUCGAGGAGCAGCAGGGGACCGCCGAACUCCCUCUUCCCUUCCGGCUGCACCUUCUCCGUGAGCUCCUUCCAGUCCCUCGCUUCUCCACUCCUACUUUUCACUCUCCCUCCCAUGCUCGUCAUGUGUGCUUUCUUUUGAUUUGGUUGUGCCUGCAGGUCCAUGGACAUUGUCAGAAUGGUCAAUUUAGUCUGGCGUAUUAUUUUCAGAUAUCAUGUUUGUCCAAGCCUCCAAGAUUCAAUUAGAUAGCAUCGUCUUCUCCCCGAGCAGCAAAAUGGAAGUUAGGAAUGUCAACUCUGCUGUGUGUCAGGCUCAGCGAUGCCAGCCUCUGCCCCCUCCCCAAACGAUACGGUCUGCUUCAGUUCACGCAGUGUCUAGGUGAAGAAUUUGUGGCCAGCAACGAAAAGAUGUCUCUUGAAAAUCUAGUAAAGGAAAAAAGAUACGCCAACACUGUUCUACAAUCUGUUGCAUCUCUGUUCUCCUCGUUAAGGAGAGGGGAGGCGGCCAAUGACAGGGAGAAGGAGCAGGCCGUCGAGGAGUGCAAGCAAAAGAGUAAGAUGUGUAUUUUUUAUUGCCUCAAAUGAUUCAGAUUAAGAGUGACAAUAUGUAUGUGUUUGGUUGGGUGGAAAAGUCCCGCUUCCGAUUACAGCACUUUCGUAAGACAGUAGAAGUCGUUUGGUUCAGCCCUUCUGUUUUCUGUUACGAUGCUAUUCAAUACAGCGCUUCACUUCUGUGGAAACAUCCGAUCAUGGCUGGAUACAAAAUCCUCUCUGCCACGUAUUCGCUCGUGUCCGAACCAAACAAAACACGUAUUCUGGAAGAUAUAUCGGAAGCAGCGCUUCCCGAUAAAUAGCACGGAGAACAUAUUAGUGCUAUAUGUGUGUCUAAGGUCUCCAAGAGAUGCAGUCAUAGACAGUGACUGGUCCCUGAAGUUUGGGACGUUAAGGAUAAAAGCAAGCAGUUUUCAGAAACUUUUAGUUGUGGCUCAUGGGUAAAUUUUGAAACACAAAUUUCUUAACUUGUCAAAUGUAGCAGAAAUAAUUAAGAUUUAAUCACUGCUACUUCCUGAAAUGCAGGUUGGAGCAACUGGGAAAUCAUUGACAAAUGUGGUCUCAGUUGGAGUUGGUGGUAGCUUCCUUGGACCUCUGUUUUUGCAUGCAGCUCUCCAGAUUGACCCGAAACAGCAGAGUCCGCCAAAGGCUGGCAACUAAGAUUGUAAGCGUGUACUUGGGGUAUGUUUCUGUAUUUCUUUUGUUGACACCUGUUACAUGUUCUUCUCGCACUUCCUAUGGAUGAUCAAAAAUAUUAAAUGUGAUCGAGCAGAGGCUUCCUUUUUAUCUUUCUGCACCAUUCAUGCAACCCUAACCAGGAAUUCUUUCAUUAUUGGAGUCUUUCAUUGUAUAUAUAACUAUAUAUUGAUGCAAGGUGGGAGAAGAAGGAGGUGGCUGGCCUUUAUUGUGUUUUGGUGUGGUUCUCUCCUAUUUAAUGGUAGAUAUGAUGUAUAGGUUCAAGCAUGUGAUGUUUCUUUCAGUGCAUAUUUGUGCUUUACGAUGUUUGAUGCACAUAUAGUUGAACCUCUUACUCCAUGUAAUACUUUGCCAAAGAAGAAUUUAUUAAUGUUGGUGUUUUUUCUCUUUUCAGAUUUUAGCCUGGGUGCAUAAACAUACAUGCCCCACAUUAUAUUCAAAUUUCAGUGCAAGCUUAAACUGGGGAUAAAUCAUUAUGGAAGGGAAAUGAAUGAAUAACAAACUAUAUAGAUUUAUUAUCAUAUCAUUUAUUUUUGAUUGCAUGAUCUUAAUUGCUCAUCUCUGAAAAUAUUCUAGGCUCUUGCUCUUGGAAGAUUAGACUGAUGUGGUUUUGCUUUAUGAAUAAAUGGCGUGCUAACUUACUGGUUUGAUUUAGGUGUGUAGGCAGAGGAAACAAAAGAAUCAUAAUCCCAGGUUUAGGCAUGCACAUGGUCACUGAUCACAAAGUAGGUAGGAACAUGUGCAGUAUUGUGAUUUUCAGCAAGAGAAAGAGAAACAUAGUUAAUUGUACGUAUUUUAAGCUACACUAUGUGAUGUUGCUCUAUUAUAAAGGCCUUGCUUAAAUGCUUGGUUUGCAACAUGUAUUGCAUUUCCAGGGAUUAUCCUUUUGCUUAUUUAGUAUUUCCUAUGUUAUAUUUCGUCCUCAGUUGGGUCAUUGUAUGUGAUUAUUUACUCAUUUUGAGCCAUUUUGCAACCAAGCUUGACUUCUUUUAUUUUGCGAUCUGAGUUAUGCACACCAAAAUUAGCCCACGUAAGUUUGAACCAUAUUGAACAUGUUAGAUCACUCUCCUGUAUGUGAUGAUUUACUCUAUGGAGCCAUGUUGUGACCUAGCUUGAGUUCUUUUAUUUGCGAUCUGAGCUGCAAAAUAAAAAUAAAAAUAAAAAUAGUCCACGUAAUUCGAACCAUAUCUGAACAUUUUAGUAUCUGAAUACUGAAAUUACCAAACAUGAUCUUCACUUCGCCAUUUGUGACCCCACAGUGCUUUAACUAAGCUAGCUAUAGUAAUAUUAUGUUUUACAUGGCUAUGCAAGUUAAAGGUUCUAAUAUAGUGUACGUUUAUCAAUAUUUUGUGUUAUAUUGAGUAAUAUACUUCACAUAUAAGUUUUAAGCUAAUAGCUCCUAAUAAUUGUUUCUCCUCUUUGCAGUUGCCAUUUUAGUCAUAUUUUUUCUGAGAUAAAGAAUAAUAUUGAGAUGCAUUUCCUUUCUGAUGAUGAGAUUGGGUAUGCCUAUGUUUUGUAUUUUUCAGUAUUAUUUUAUUUCCGGCUCCGCUUAGCUGAGAGAGCUAAGAGAUAAUAUGGUAAACAAUUUCUAUCAAGUGGGUGAGCUCCAUUUUUCAAGGUAAGUCAGGUGACAGCCAAAAAAAUACCAAGGAGAUGAGUCUCUUAUCAGUUGUUUUGAUCUUAUCCAGGUUCUAUUUUCUUUCAGGCCAUGAGUUACGAUGUCCUGGUUAGAGCUACUACAUUCAAAGAGUAAAUCUGUUUCAUUGUAUCUGUACAUUAUAUGAAAAAGGUGCAUCUAUUAUGCCUCGUAGAAAUUUCAGCUGAGCAAUUGUGUAGACUUACGAAGCUAUCAUGACGGAUGUUAGUGAUUUCUGUAUUAGGGCCAUGUUACAUCUCUAGUGUUGAAUUAAUGGCUAGAAAUUCAGAGUUACAUAGCUGAAAACAGGGUUGCUCGAAGCAAACAAGCUGCUUAUUCAGUAUUUUUGACACUCAUGGAAAAUGUAUAUGCUCAUCCUAAAUUCCUAAUUAUUAUUAUAUCACAUAACUGAAAGUGCAUUAGACCAAUGGUGUUAUCAAAAAUAAAUAAUUUUUGCCCCAUAGCUGAACCGUGUCUUUUCUCUGUGUGUAUAUAUGUUAGAGAUGUGUAAGAUUUAGACAUUUUUAUUCAUUUGUUAACUUUACCAAUGUAUGGAUGACAUGCUUCAUUAUGUUAUAUCACAUGUGAAGGUGCAUUAUACCUGUGGUUUAUUAGAAUGCAUAAUUUCGGUCAAAUAAUUGAGUUGUUCUUUUCUUCGGUGUAUAUACAAGUUACAGAUGUGCAUGAUUAUGUUUAUUCUCUACAUUUGGUAAAUUCACCUAUGUAUGGCUGACAUACUUCUUUAGGUUAUGUUUCUAAAGCUCCAUGCUUAAUCGUCCAGAAUGUUUCCAAGUGACUGCUUUACACAUGGGAGACUGGAUGAAUGGAGGAGUUCAGAGAAGCUGGUGUUAUGUUACAUAUGGUCUUCAAGCUAAUGUUAUGUUUCUUGCAUGGUUUGUGUAUUUGUUGCAAAAACAUAGUACAAGAAAAAGAUCUAUGCUCAUGAAGAUGGCAGAAGGGAACUACAUGUGGAACAAGAACCACUAGCACUGACCAGUUGGGCAUCUGGAUAGUGGUAGUGAACAAAAAUUGCUUGCCCUAUAGAGUCAAUGUAAUCUACUACUAUCCCACUUGCUGAUUUUUAUAUUAUGAAACCAUAGUAUGUAUUUACACUCCUGCUGUGAGAUUGUACUAUGUAAAUUAUGGGAGGACAAUGUAGGCCUUUAUAUGCAAAUAACUCCUUGUUGAAA